GAAAAUUGAGGAUCUGGCAAGGUGGCAAAAUAGAAACAGCUCCGGUCUGCUGCUGCCAGUGAGACCAAUGCAGAAGGACAUGGAUUCACUAAAAAGAAAAGUUCUGAAGAAUAACAGAACUUGCCAGAUCCCAUCAGGGAUGUGAAUAGUCCCAGUGACGGUUUUGAAUUUGGGCAGAGCACUUCCAUCUUCCAUCCUUCCUAUCUGAGCCUUUUGACAACAAUUGAGACAUUGAAGCCAGGAAGAGUUUGGGUUAAGACUGUGCGGGUGAACUAAACUGUGUCUCCAGAAAAGACUCCAUGUUCUGGACAACCCCGGAUCCUGUAAAAUGCAUUUCUUACUGCUGAUGUCACUCUGUACAUUUGUUUAUGGAUAUAUCUUUUUACCAUAAUGUAUACUCUUGUUGGAGUGUAGUACCCUUCACUGUAGACCACUGUAUUCCCUAAUGCUUACCCAUGUGCCUCUACAUAGUUGUUGCCAAACUGAAGCCAGACUAUUAAAAAAAUUCAGCUAAAUG
rnacentral:lncRNA from 10 species